rnacentral:rRNA from 1 species
AUUGAACGCUGGCGGCAUGCCUUACACAUGCAAGUCGAACGGCAGCACGGGAGCAAUCCUGGUGGCGAGUGGCGAACGGGUGAGUAAUAUAUCGGAACGUGCCCAGUCGUGGGGGAUAACGUAGCGAAAGCUACGCUAAUACCGCAUACGAUCUAUGGAUGAAAGCGGGGGAUCGCAAGACCUCGCGCGAUUGGAGCGGCCGAUAUCAGAUUAGGUAGUUGGUGAGGUAAAGGCUCACCAAGCCGACGAUCUGUAGCUGGUCUGAGAGGACGAUNAGCCACACUGGGACUGAGACACGGCCCAGACUCCUACGGGAGGCAGCAGUGGGGAAUAUUGGACAAUGGGCGAAGCCUGAUCCAGCAAUGCCGCGUGAGUGA